rnacentral:sRNA from 1 species
UUAAAUAUAUACUAGAUUUUAACCUGCGGUACACCGUGGGACUAUUUUGUUCUUUUAAGAAUAACAAUUUAAUUUGUUUAGUCGAUUAAAAAUAUAUUGAUUUAAUGUUUAUAUUUUCUGAAUGUACAACUCUUAUAUCUGUAUAUUAUUU